AUAGGAGAGGUUGUGUGGAUCGAUACCUGCCACGUGGGCGAGUGGGUAACUCUGGUUAGUGUCCCUGGGGAUUCCUUCUUAACCACGGUCAGGUUAAAAAUAGUCCAGAACUUUCAUUAUGUGAAAAUUCUGGAAAAAUAGUCCCAACUACUAAAGGGAAUUAAGAAGUAGGCCUACAGAUUCUCCGCAUGGCCUGAAUGAGGCCCAAGGAGCUAGGCUGCCCUGGAAUUAAACCCUUAGAAGUAGUAUGACCUGUACAAUUUUGUGCCUUUCGUUGUCUGGUCUAGGGGGUAGUACAUACGCCAAGCGUGAUUGGCUUGGUUUAAGCCAUUUCAGGGGAGGUGUCGCCUUUCAUUGUCUGGUCCAGGGGUAAUACACACGGCAAGCUUGAUCAACUUGACGGAGCCGGCUCGAGGAGGGUGUCUAAUGUAAAGGCUCGAAACACCCGAAGAUCCGAGAGUGCAUUACUGAUGAUGUGUCCUGGCACAUGAUAAUGAGAGGUUUCGAUUUUCCUAUACAAGCAGCUGGCUUAGGAGCUCAGACUUUAAAUUCUGCAGACUAACCUUUGCCAGCUAAACAUAUAGAUCCACCAGCCCUACACUUAAACCUAAUCCUAAAGUCCAAAAGGGGCAUACACCCCCAUAAAUAGGCAAAUUCCAAGAGGGGUAGUCACCCCCAUAAACCCUAGGCAACUUCCAAGGGGGGCAUACACCCCCACAAACCCUAGGCAUUCCCCGAUUAACUUUUGAUAUUCUGAGAGGGGUAGGAUUCAACAAGGGCAAGUGUGGGACCUGGUUAAUGAAGGCGUGGGCCAGAUCAAAGUGGCAGGGUGAUGUGAAAUAGAAUCUCAAGUGGGGAGAUCAGAAAUCACAAGAGGGCUUUUUAGCCCACUGCCCGCAUAAUUUCAACCUAACCUAUCAGUGACACGCUCUUCAUUCUCCCGGCCCCAGAAAGGCCAAUAAGAAAACCCAGAUAUUUUAUUUCACCUAUCGGGUGUUAAAAAAUUCAUAGUUAAAAGAAUGGAGAGGUUCACCAAUUAGCAGCUAAUGUACCUUUAAGGGCUGAGGUGAGCCGGUCUCCUAGCAACAGCCAGGUUUGCAGUAGGUGGACAAUUAGGUUUUAGUAUCACAUUAGUUAAAAGAGGCCCUGCGGGGGGAAGAAGGUGAGGGAUGUUUUAACUGGAUAGCAGUACUGUCUGGGUUUAGAGACUCCACAGAAGACCCGAGUGACGGACGAGAGUCGAGUUGGACCUUCCGGUCGGGAAUCACGCUUUUUUGAAGGCAAUUGGUUGGAGUCGAAAUCGCAGACGCAAGAUAAGCAAGACUCCACAGAAGACCCGAGUGACGGACGAGAGUCGAGUUGGACCUUCCGGUCGGGAAUCACGCUUUUUUGAAGGCAAUUGGUUGGAGUCGAAAUCGCAGACGCAAGAUAAGCAAGACUCCACAGAAGACCCGAGUGACGGACGAGAGUCGAGUUGGACCUUCCGGUCGGGAAUCACGCUUUUUUGAAGGCAAUUGGUUGGAGUCGAAAUCGCAGACGCAAGAUAAGCAGUAGGAACAUUAUUCUUUUAUUUAUUGUCUUACUUACAUUAUUGUCUUAAUGAUGUGGAAAGGCAAAGAUAGGAGAGGUUGUGUGGAUCGAUACCUGCCAGGUGGGCGAGUGGGUAACUCUGGUUAGUGUCCCUGGGGAUUCCUUCUUAACCACGGUCAGGUUAAAAAUAGUCCAGAACCUUCAUUAUGUGAAAAUUCUGGAAAAAUAGUCCCAACUACCAAAGGGAAUUAAGAAGUAGGCCUACAGAUUCUCCGCAUGGCCUGAAUGAGGCCCAAGGAGCUAGGCCGCCCUGGAAUUAAACCCUUAGAAGUAGUAUGACCUGUACAAUUUUAUGCCUUUCGUUGUCUGGUCUAGGGGGUAGUACAUACGCCAAGCGUGAUUGGCUUGGUUUAAGCCGUCUCAGGGGAGGUGUCGCCUUUCAUUGUCUGGUCCAGGGGUAAUACACACGGCAAGCUUGAUCAACUUGACGGAGCCGGCUCGAGGAGGGUGUCUAAUGUAAAGGCUCGAAACACCCGACGAUCCGAGAGUGCAUUACUGAUGAUGUGUCCUGGGACAUGAUAAUGAGAGGUUUCGAUUUUCCCAUACAAGCCUAGCUGGCUUAGGAGCUCAGACUUUAAAUUCUGCAGACUAACCUUUGCCAGCUAAACAUAUAGAUCCACCAGCCCUACACUUAAACCUAAUCCUAAAGUCCAAAAGGGGCAUACACCCCCAUAAAUAGGCAAAUUCCAAGAGGGGUAGUCACCCCCACAAACCCUAGGCAACUUCCAAGGGGGGCAUACACCCCCAUAAACCCUAGGU